rnacentral:misc_RNA from 1 species
GACUCGGUUUUCUUGCCAAACACUUCCAUUAAGAAUCUGUCCGGCUUUAUGGAGGAAGAGAACAUCAAUACCAGCUGCUUUUCCCAAUUUGAGCCUCCUGAACUUCCCCUUCAAAUUCCUCUUGAUGUUAGAUUUAAGGACACUAGUCGUCUUGAUCAAAGCUCUAUGCUUGCUCCUUGUGAUAAUGAGCCUUCUGUGACCAAGAAACAGAGCACAGACAACUCCACUGUGGUAGAUAAGCUUGAAAGCGGUGAGCAAGUUACCCA